rnacentral:rRNA from 1 species
UACCUGCAGCUCAAGUGGUGGCCGCUAUUAUUGGGCCUAAAACGUUCGUAGCCGGUUUGGUAAAUGCCUGGGUAAAUUGUGUAGCUUAACUAUACAAAUUCCGGGUAGACUGCUAAACUUGAGACCGGGAGAAGCUAGAGGUACUCCUGGGGUAGAGGUGAAAUUCUGUAGUCCUGGGGGGACCACCAGUGGCGAAGGCGUCUAGCUAGAACGGGUUUGACGGUGAGGAACGAAGCCCUGGGGCGCAAACCGGAUUAGAUACCCGGGUAGUCCAGGGUGUAAACGCUGCUUGCUUGAUGUUAGUUGGGCUCCGAGCCCAAUUAGUGUCGGAGAGAAGUUGUUAAGCAAGCUGCCUGGGAAGUACGAUCGCAAGAUUGAAACUUAAAGGAAUUGGCGGGGGAGCACAGCAACGGGUAGAGCGUGCGGUUU